rnacentral:rRNA from 1 species
AUUCCAGCUCCAAUAGCGUAUAUUAAAGUUGUUGCAGUUAAAAAGCUCGUAGUUGGAUUUCUGGUCUGAUGCCCUGGCCCGCCGCAAAUUCGUGGUGAGUGCCGGUUGUGCGUCUGCCAUCCUUCUAGAAAACGUCUCCACCCUUCACUGGGCCGGGUUCGCGAUCUAGAUCUUUUACUUUGAAAAAAUUAGAGUGUUUAAAGCAGGCUUUUGCUAUGAAUACAUUAGCAUGGAAUAAUAAUCUAGGACUUCGGUUCUAUUUUGUUGGUUUGCAUACCAAAUUAAUGAUCAACAGGAACAGUUUGAGGAUAUUCGUAUGAACAUGUCAGAGGUGAAAUUCUUGGAUUUUGAUCAGACGAACUACUGCGAAAGCAUUUAUCAAGGAUGUUUUCAUCG